UACGUAGGAUGCAAGCGUUGUCCGGAAUUAUUGGGCGUAAAGCGAACGUAGGCGGUUUCUUAAGAUUGGUCUUAAAGACCGGGGCUCAACCCCGGGAAUGGAUCGAUAACUGGGAGACUGGAGGACGUCAGAGGAAAGUGGAAUUCCGAGUGUAGCGGUGAAAUGCGUAGAUAUUCGGAGGAACACCAGUGGCGACAGCGACUUUCUGGGACGUUCCUGACGCUGAGGUUCGAAAGCUCGGGGAGCAAACAGG
rnacentral:rRNA from 1 species